CAGUAGCCGCGGGAAUACGGAGGAUCCAAGCGUUAUCCGGAAUUAUUGGGCGUAAAGCGCGCGUAGGUGGUUUGUUAAGUUGGAUGUGAAAGCCCCGGGCUCAACCUGGGAACUGCAUCCAAAACUGGCAAGCUAGAGUACGGUAGAGGGUGGUGGAAUUUCCUGUGUAGCGGUGAAAUGCGUAGAUAUAGGAAGGAACACCAGUGGCGAAGGCGACCACCUGGACUGAUACUGACACUGAGGUGCGAAAGCGUGGGGAGCAAACAGGAUUAGAUACCCGUGUAGUCCCUGUCUCUUAUAC
rnacentral:rRNA from 1 species